rnacentral:misc_RNA from 1 species
UUCGUGCACUUUCGCUUCGAAUCUAAUUUGUUUUGUUUGGUUUACGCCGGCGGGCGCGUGAAUCUCGAUAGUAAAUUACGCGGCGUUAUUUAUAUUUUCGUUCGCCCGCUGCGCGCAUAGCUUUACCAUUCGUAACCGCGAAGAGAUACUUUACAUGUGGAAUACGUUGGGUGUAUUUAUUUUUUCUGGAGUCUGUGAGGCUAGUGUUAGUUUUUCGGUGAUGGUGGUCGGUUAGUGCUCCUACGAUGUCGGAAGCGACGACGCCAACGGGCGAGGCGCCCGUGCUGGAGCUGGACGACCGGGACGCGGAGCCCCGGACGCCGAUGAAGCGGCUCGGCUCCACGAGAAAGCUGGCUGCAUUCAACAAUAUUCGCGUUCAACUGACAGAGCAGACGCGGAUACUAGAAGCACGGGCGGAAGCGGCGGCGGGUGUCGCGGCGGAAUUACACGACUAUUGCCGAAGACGAGCCGAACUUGAGGCCGAGUACUCACGAGCUCUCGACAAGCUCGUCCGAGCGGCGCAUCAGAAGCAUAAGGAGCAUAAACACAAACGCGAGCAAUGGUCGCUAACAGGCGCCUACGCGUGCUGGCAAGCCGCGCUGGACAGCACACGGUCCCUAUCCAAAGACCAUGCAACUUUAGCAGCAUUAUAUGGAGGACAGUUAGCUUCAAGGUUGCAACGGGCGGCUGAUGACGCGCUGAGGUUACACAGAAAAUGUCGGGAUAUAGUCCUGGAGCGGCAUGAAGAGGUAGGAGCAGCGUUAGCCGACGCUGCAGCCGCGGGGAAGGCCCAAGCGGCAGCCGCAGCCGAGUGGCGAGCGGCGGCAGCAAAGUUGAGGCAUGCUCAUGACCAGAAGACACGGUUAGCUGCUGCUGACCCUCCGAGGGUUAAGAAGCUGAAGGCUCUGGAUAAAGAGCUUGAGAAGCGACGCGGCCGACACAGCGAGGCGCGCGCAAAGGCCCUGCGUGCAAGAGCGGACUACGUGUUAAGUUUGGAAGCCGCGAACGCGACUCUGCAGCGGUACUACCUUGACGACAUCCCCGAUAUCAUGCUUUGCAUGGAAGUCGGUUUCGAAGCUGUAGUAGGCCGAUGCGUCCGCACCGCCGCCGAGGCAGAAGCAGCGAGAGCAGCGGCCCUAUGCGCCGCCGCCGGCGCCCUACGUGGCGCGGCUUCAGCCCUGGAUUCUUUAAAGGAUAGGCAGAAGGCGUUGGACGCUCAUGCCCCGACUUUUGCGUUGCCACGACCACUGCCUUACCAAGGAACACCUCCGGAAGAGCAAGAUCAAGAAAUGCGUGAGUUAGUAAACGGUGCAGCAGAAGAGCAGGACGCAGCAGCUGCAGCAGUGGCCGCAGAGCUGGCGCAGCGCCUGCAGCAGUUGGAGAGCGGCGCGAGGGCUUUAAGGGCCGAGUGCAGGGAGAGCGCCAAGACGCUGGACGCGGCCGAGGCGGAGCUGGUCAAACAGAUGGAAGGCAGCCCAGCGCAGUGGGAAACAGCGCGGUUGUUCGGUCCGGACGCACCGGCGCCGCCGCCAACAGACGACCAAGAAGCGCCGCGGAAGGAACAGGAGGACUACUAUCUCGCGAAGUUCCGGUCAUAUGUGUCAAGCGCGGGGCGGCUCGCGCGGCUGGAGAGCAAGGCGGCGUGCAUGCGCGCGCGCCUCGUGCGCCUCGCGCCCGCGCCCCCGCCCGCCUCGCCGCCCUCCCCGCCGCGCCGCGCCGCGGCCCGCCUGCGCAGGGGACAGUUCGCCGCGCCGCUGGACGAUCAUCUAGCCGCUGCGAGGGCGGACUUACCGAGAGUGCUGACGUCGUGUGUGCGAGUUAUAUCCAGCUAUGGUCUACGACAUCAAGGUAUUUUCCGCGUGUCAGGGUCUCAAGUGGAAAUGCAAGCGUUACGCGCGGCCUUCGAACGGGGAGACGACCCAUUGGCACACGUUAGAGACGCCUCAGAUAUUAACUCUGUAUGUGGCCUCCUAAAGCUGUACCUCCGUGAGCUACGUCCACCGCUUCUGCCGCCACAACUACAAGAGCGCUUGCUCCGUCUAGCCGCGUUACCAAGCGACGCAGAUUUUGUACGAAGAAUGAGAGAAUUGCUAGCGACGUUGCCAGCAUCAUCGGUGCUUGUUCUAAGAUAUCUCCUGGCGUUCUUGGCACAUUUAACAGAAUACAGCGAGUACAACAUGAUGGAUGCGUGGAACCUAGCCAUCUGCGUGGGGCCCACGCUCCUAGCGGCGUGGGGGGAGGGCGGGGCGCAACUGGCAGCACAAAACCUGGUCAACGAACUAGUGAAGAGGACUAUUAUACAUCAUGCUGCGAUAUUCCCUCAGGAUAUCGCGCCACACGCGUUAUAUAAGCGUCCCAGUGAAGAGAACGAGACGGUAGCAGAAGAAGGAGAGAGCGCGGCGGGUUCUGACGACGUCGACGCGGCGGAGGAGCCCGACGUCAACGACGACCUGUCGCUUUAUGACGACGACGAUGAUAACGACGACGAUGAAAUAAGUGACGACGGUGAAAAUGGCGAAUGGAGAGAACGCGACAGAGACUCGAUAGAAAGGAGAUCGGAAAGCCUGCCGCGUCGACAAUCAGUGCCGGCCCCACAGGAGGCUAGCGGAAGCAACGCCGGACCUAGUGCUGGACUUACCGGCGCGCGCGCCGACUGAGGCCAGCGCGCCGCCCGCCGACGCUGCCGAAACGUUCGCCAGCAACCGCGACACGCUUAAGAAACGGCCCUCGCACAAACCAUCAUCGUCCGAUAGCAGCACAAUCGCUCCCGACGAUCCUCCGGAGGCCGAAAAACCGGACGAGGCCGAAACACAAGCUUCAGCCUCCGCAGCCCCUGAAAGUCCAGUACCCGCACGCAACACAGCCCGCGUCGCCGC